GAUGAAUAACGCAGUGAAAUGCGAUAAGUAAUGCGAAUUGCAGAAUCCGUGAGUCAUCGAAUCUUUGAACGCACAUUGCGCCCUCUGGUAUUCCGGAGGGCAUGCCUGUUCGAGCGUCAUUAUCACCCCUCAAGCCCGGCUUGUUGUUGGAUGCAGCGCUUAUCCCGCUCCUCCCAAAGAUAAUGACGGCGUCUGCGACGACUCCUGUACACUGAGCUUUCGGGCACGUACACGGCUAGAAGUCCAGACCCGGUCGCCGUCCCCCCCGCGGGGACACCCAUUACCACAAGGUUGACCUCGGAUCAGGUAGGAAUACCCGCUGAACUUAAGCAUAUCAAUAAGCGGAGGA
rnacentral:misc_RNA from 1 species